UCUCCAAGCCGCUAAUGCUUUCCUGGACUCAAAGAUCAGAAGAGCACGAGAUCUUGCAACACAAAAACUGAAUGAGCCUGUGAGCAUACAGAAUGUCACCUAUCAGAAAAUGGGCAACAACUCAUACAAUAUUAGCUUUGCGUUCCGAAUCAGCAAUGUGACCAUCUCCAAGGAUGUGCAGCUGAGGAACGAAACAUAUACUUUAAUCCAAAACACCAUCAACAGCCUGUUGAAUGAUAUUCUGAAUGUCAAAGGUAGUACUCCAUUUGUCUUCCCACGAGCAACUUACAGG